UUCAUAACAUUGCAUGUAUAAAUAACAGCUUGCAGGCACACAUGUGCAUUCUUCCUCUCUGCACAGUCUCAAGCUACAACAUUCUACAACAUGAUUUGCCUGACAGGAGUGAUUGUGCUGCUCUUUGCAGUGACUGUUGAUGGAAGAGUUGGGGACUCCAGUGAAUCCAGUUACUGCACAGAGACAAAGGAAUGUUUUCUGUUCGACUUGGUUUGUGCAGGAAAAGAUUAUGAGGUGAGAUUCAAGAUGUACAUAAAGAAACUGAAUAGAUAAAAUAACAA